UACGGGGGGGGCAAGCGUUGUUCGGAAUUACUGGGCGUAAAGGGCUCGUAGGCGGCCAACUAAGUCAGACGUGAAAUCCCUCGGCUUAAACCGGGGAACUGCGUCUGAUACUGGAUGGCUUGAGGUUGGGAGAGGGAUGCGGAAGUUCCAGGUGUAGCGGUGGAAUGCGCAGAGUAUCAGGAGGAACACCUAUGGCGAAGGCAGCUCUCUGGUACGUGACUGACGCUGAGACGCGAAAGCGUGGGGAGCAAACGGG
rnacentral:rRNA from 1 species